ensembl:misc_RNA Metazoa_SRP Metazoan signal recognition particle RNA
GCCGGGCGCGGUGGCGCGCGCCUGUAGUCCCAGCUACUCAGGAGGCUGAGGCCGGAGGAUCGCUUGAGUCCAGGAGUUCUGGGCUGUCGUGCGCUGUGCUGAUCAGGCGUCUGCACUAAGUUCGGCAUCAAUAUGGUGACCUCCCAGGAGCGGGGGACCACCACAUUGCCUAAGGAGGGGUGAACCGGCCCAGGUCGGAAAUAAAAGAUUUUGAAUUUUUAUUUCAUUUUUAAUACAGAAAUGCAGAUGACUUCAUAGUGUAGCACUCAACAAGGAUUAGGGUACUGUGGCAGUCAU